UACAGAGGUCUCAAGCGUUGUUCGGAUUCAUUGGGCGUAAAGGGUGCGUAGGCGGCGCGGUAAGUCGGGUGUGAAAUCUUGGAGCUUAACUCCGAAACUGCAUUCGAUACUGCCGUGCUUGAGGACUGGAGAGGAGACUGGAAUUUACGGUGUAGCGGUGAAAUGCGUAGAUAUCGUAAGGAAGACCAGUGGCGAAGGCGGGUCUCUGGACAGCUCCUGACACUGAGGCACGAAGGCCAGGGGAGCAAACGGG
rnacentral:rRNA from 1 species